rfam:Calocera viscosa TTFC12733 unplaced genomic scaffold CALVIscaffold_15, whole genome shotgun sequence.
GCCCUUAUAGCUCAGUUGGUAGAGCGCGACACUAGUAGUCUGCAGUGUAGCAUACGGUGAUGUCGAGGUCAGUCGUUCAAAUCGGCUUGAGGGCA